rnacentral:rRNA from 1 species
AUGGGGCGGGUGGCGAUGGGGCAGACCGAGGAGCGCAUCUACAGGGAUGACGUCAUCGCCCAAGACUACGGCAACCACCGCAUGGAGGCCGUGAUCAUGCCACAGCCAAUCAAGGACACCUUCUCCAUCCUGUUCGGCGGCGACAUUUACGAGAUUGCUGGAGUCGUGGCCACUGAGCUGACCAGCGUGGAGGCCGGUGAGCAGACGAGCGGCGGCCUCGUGGUUCCCAUCAACUCUGCGCCUGCGCCUGCGCCUCCACCAGAGGGCGACGACGACCACGAAGUGAGAAUCAACAUAGAUCAGCAUGUGAAUGUACCCGCUCAGGAGUCUGCGUUGCAGUUAAUCGCACGUGCGCUGGGAACAGUGGGUUCCCACACCCUGGUUAUGGACGUGCACACGAUGCUCCACAAGCCGCCCAGUGGAGUAGUCUUCGGCCACAACAAGCUCAUCCUCACC